GACGAACGCUGGCGGCGUGCCUAAUACAUGCAAGUAGAACGCUGAAGGAGGAGCUUGCUCUUCUGGAUGAGUUGCGAACGGGUGAGUAACGCGUAGGUAACCUGCCUGGUAGCGGGGGAUAACUAUUGGAAACGAUAGCUAAUACCGCAUAAUAGUAGAUGUUGCAUGACAUUUACUUAAAAGGUGCAAUUGCAUCACUACCAGAUGGACCUGCGUUGUAUUAGCUAGUUGGUGGGGUAACGGCUCACCAAGGCGACGAUACAUAGCCGACCUGAGAGGGUGAUCGGCCACACUGGGACUGAGACACGGCCCAGACUCCUACGGGAGGCAGCAGUAGGGAAUCUUCGGCAAUGGACGGAAGUCUGACCGAGCAACGCCGCGUGAGUGAAGAAGGUUUUCGGAUCGUAAAGCUCUGUUGUAAGAGAAGAACGAGUGUGAGAGUGGAAAGUUCACACUGUGACGGUAUCUUACCAGAAAGGACGGCU
rnacentral:rRNA from 1 species